rnacentral:lncRNA from 1 species
UGCUAGUACUAGAGCGGAAGUCUUGAAGUGGAUCGGCUAGAUAAAAUGCCGUGCCGCUUAAGCGAGCGGGUUUCUAGAUGAUGCCUCGUCGCUCAAUUGCUUCAUUUCCCUUGGAUUUCAAUAAGUGAUCAGUGGAGAGCAAACCCGGUCGGCACAAUUCGCCUUCUUUUAGCGAUUGAGGCCUCUUUUCAUUCUUUAGGUGGAUAGCUGGUCGACAGUUGACACAACCCUGUUAAUGUCCACUUUCACAUGUUAUCUCAAGAUGGUCAGACCACUGCCCAUGGAUAAGCACGUAGCUGUAGAGUUAUUUCUGCCUGGUAUAUUGAAUUUUGAGACCGGUUUACAGCAUGACUGUGGAGAUAUGUCACACCCUCCGUGAUACUGUCUGACCGUUCGCAAUGCGGUGUCGUCGUUUUCCCCCAUGUUACAAUGAGGAUAAUCCCUGCCGCCAAUUGAGAGACUGGAUAGCUACCUAGCUGCAGCAAAGUGGAGGAGCUUAUCAUGACGUGCUCAAUGGGCGAUGGUUGAAAUGAAUUCUAGUGCUAGUUCUCUGCCUUAGAAUAUUUUCCAUUCGGUUAACCUAUAUGGCUUUUGGUGUCGCAGUGCAGUGGGAAUCAUGAUCGACAGGGCGACGUCACUCAUCCAAAUACCUCACUCGGCCCCGGCGGUCUAAGACUCUAGGCUCGUUCGCAGACUCCAUACCGAGCUAUAUGGGGCGUAAAUUAAGCGCCGACUUUAGAUCAAAUGGCCGUGGUAUCUUUCUCUUGAAAACGGGAGGCUGAAUAUGUUUCCGAUCAUCACAAUGAUGAUCCUGUCCAGUCGUGAUUGUGGAUCGAUCAUGUUAAAGGCUGAUCCACGUUGAUUCAGUUACUAGUGCGUCUCAACUUCGGAUUUUUGUCCUGUCUCAUGAGUCUUGUCUGAUUUUGAGUUCAGCCACAAAACCAAGUCACUUCAAUCCUGGCAAACUUUCCAGAUUAGUGGCUUCACCUAAACUCGGACAAGGAGUUAUAUUUCGUACAAAAAAAUUUUCCCCCCCAAAGGUGUACGCCGGUAGAGCCAGGAACGCUCUAGGCCUAUGAUUCUUUCCGAGGCCAGUCAUGAUCAAUACGUAUAAAGCAGGACCGAACUGGCGACAUCAACAGUUGAAAAACAGCUGCUCGUGUUUCACAACCCCUGUUUAGCGCCACGUGUGUGCGUGUCUAUAUAUUUUUAAAGCCAGACCUGGGUGACUUUUACAAGAGGAGGUAAACUAAGCAGGGGCUUUAGUCGAUCUUCAAGAGUCUUAGUAUGAAACCUGGGCUUUUAACGGAAGCUGCAUGCCGUACAAACUACAAAAGUAUCCUAGAGUAAGCCAAGAGUUCUAGAGAGGGGAACUCAACCGGAUGCCGGUGUAGCGGAUCAAUAUGGUUCUGUACAUGGAUGUUCCCUAGGCUAUAACCACUUU